CGGAACGGGUGAGUAAUACAUAAGUAACCUGCCCUAGACAGGGGGAGUAACUAUUGGAAACGAUAGCUAAGACCGCAUAGGUACGGACACUGCAUGGUGACCGUAUUAAAAGUGCCUCAAAGCACUGGUAGAGGAUGGACUUACGGCGCAUUAGCUGGUUGGCGGGGUAACGGCCCACCAAGGCGACGAUGCGUAGCCGACCUGAGAGGGUGACCGGCCACACUGGGACUGAGACACGGCCCAGACUCCUACGGGAGGCAGCAUG
rnacentral:rRNA from 1 species